rnacentral:rRNA from 1 species
GCGGACGGGUGAGUAAUGUCUGGGAAGCUGCCUGAUGGAGGGGGAUAACUACUGGAAACGGUAGCUAAUACCGCAUAAUGUCGCAAGACCAAAGAGGGGGACCUUCGGGCCUCUUGCCAUCGGAUGUGCCCAGAUGGGAUUAGCUUGUUGGUGGGGUAACGGCUCACCAAGGCGACGAUCCCUAGCUGGUCUGAGAGGAUGACCAGCCACACUGGAACUGAGACACGGUCCAGACUCCUACGGGAGGCAGCAGUGGGGAAUAUUGCACAAUGGGCGCAAGCCUGAUGCAGCCAUGCCGCGUGUAUGAAGAAGGCCUUCGGGUUGUAAAGUACUUUCAGCGGGGAGGAAGGGAGUAAAGUUAAUACCUUUGCUCAUUGACGUUACCCGCAGAAGAAGCACCGGCUAACUCCGUGCCAGCAGCCGCGGUAAUACGGAGGGUGCAAGCGUUAAUCGGAAUUACUGGGCGUAAAGCGCACGCAGGCGGUUUGUUAAGUCAGAUGUGAAAUCCCCGGGCUCAGCCUGGGAACUGCAUCUGAUACUGGCAAGCUUGAGUCUCGUAGAGGGGGGUAGAAUUCCAGGUGUAGCGGUGAAAUGCGUAGAGAUCUGGAGGAAUACCGGUGGCGAAGGCGGCCCCCUGGACGAAGACUGACGCUCAGGUGCGAAAGCGUGGGGAGCAAACAGGAUUAGAUACCCUGGUAGUCCACGCCGUAAACGAUGUCGACUUGGAGGUUGUGCCCUUGAGGCGUGGCUUCCGGAGCUAACGCGUUAAGUCGACCGCCUGGGGAGUACGGCCGCAAGGUUAAAACUCAAAUGAAUUGACGGGGGCCCGCACAAGCGGUGGAGCAUGUGGUUUAAUUCGAUGCAACGCGAAGAACCUUACCUGGUCUUGACAUCCACGGAAGUUUUCAGAGAUGAGAAUGUGCCUUCGGGAACCGUGAGACAGGUGCUGCAUGGCUGUCGUCAGCUCGUGUUGUGAAAUGUUGGGUUAAGUCCCGCAACGAGCGCAACCCUUAUCCUUUGUUGCCAGCGGUCCGGCCGGGAACUCAAAGGAGACUGCCAGUGAUAAACUGGAGGAAGGUGGGGAUGACGUCAAGUCAUCAUGGCCCUUACGACCAGGGCUACACACGUGCUACAAUGGCGCAUACAAAGAGAAGCGACCUCGCGAGAGCAAGCGGACCUCAUAAAGUGCGUCGUAGUCCGGAUUGGAGUCUGCAACUCGACUCCAUGAAGUCGGAAUCGCUAGUAAUCGUGGAUCAGAAUGCCACGGUGAAUACGUUCCCGGGCCUUGUACACACCGCCCGUCACACCAUGGGAGUGGGUUGCAAAAGAAGUAGGUAGCUUAACCUUCGGGAGGGCGCUUACCACUUUGUGAUUCAUGACUGGGGUGAAGUCGUAACAAGGUA